rnacentral:rRNA from 1 species
UACGGGGGGGGCAAGCGUUGUUCGGAAUUACUGGGCGUAAAGGGCACGUAGGCGGCUCGGCAAAUCGGUCGUGGAAUCUCGACGCUUACCGUCGAAACGGCGGCCGAAAAUACCGGGCUCGAGGGCGUGAGGGGUCACUGGAACUCCUGGUGAAGCGGUGAAAUGCGUAGAUAUCAGGAGGAACGCCGGAGGCGAAAGCGAGUGACUGGCGCGUUCCUGACGCUGAGGUGCGAAAGCUAGGGGAGCAAACAGG